GUGCACCAGGCGCGAAACCUCCGCAAUGCGGGAAACCGCGACGGGGGGACCCCGAGUGCCGUGGCAACGCCACGGCUUUUCCGGAGUGUAAAAAGCUCCGGGAAUAAGGGCUGGGCAAGGCCGGUGGCAGCCGCCGCGGUAAUACCGGCGGCCCGAGUGGUGGCCGCUAUUAUUGGGCCUAAAGCGUCCGUAGCCGGGCCCGUAAGUCCCUGGCGAAAUCCCACGGCUCAACCGUGGGGCUUGCUGGGGAUACUGCGGGUCUUGGGACCGGGAGAGGCGGGGGGUACCCCUGGGGUAGGGGUGAGAUCCUAUAAUCCCAGGGGGACCGCCAGUGGCGAAGGCGCCCCGCUGGAACGGGUCCGACGGUGAGGGACGAAGGCCAGGGGAGCAAACCGGAUUAGAUACCCACGUAGUCC
rnacentral:rRNA from 1 species